UCGGGAACCAGGUGUCCAGGGGACAACUCCUGAGCCUCUUGGGAGAGAUGAGCCCAGAGAAUGGUUCUAGAUUUCUUCUGGGCUUUGCACAGAGGGUGGAGGGGAAAGGGCCGGUCCUGACCUGCAAAGAGUGGAGACAGGAGAGAGACCCACGUUCCAGCUUCUGUGUCUACUGUCGUGGGUGCUCCAGCGUGGAGACGGGUCUGAGGCCAAGCAUCUCACAGCACCGCUCUUCCUCCCUGGAGCACCAGGGAAGGAACUGGAAACGAGGCUGGUUGCUGCUGCUUCAAGACUGAUACAGCCACCACACUGGGAAGAAGGUGGGACCAGGACGCUUCUAGCGACAUCGCCUGCACCAGCUCAUGCCCUUCGCACGGCAGCAGUGGAGCAGCACCUGGUUCUGUUUUCACUUGAGAGAAUGUACAAGACGAAAGGCAGCAGCCAACCUGCCGCAGAGAGGCCUCACACGACGCAGAGGUUGGGCCCCGCCUCCUCCUGCGAGGCCAAGGCUGUCUCGGUCUGUUAGACACGGGCAGUCGCAGGGCAUGGCAUCUGCAGGGCAGAGACCCUGAGCCAGUGUCAGUCUUAGGUUAUUACAGCUGUCCAGGGGUUUACAGUUAAGAAACAUUUUUUUUUUUUAGGAAUAUAAAAAUAUUUAUUGACCGCUGUUCACCAGUAUUUACAAUAAACAGUAUACAGUUGGAUACCAUUCUGAUUACUACAAGGCUGUUCUUCCUGGCUUCUGCAGAACCAGCAACCCAAAUACUGAAAAGAUUGAGCCUACAUGUAAGAAAUGAAUUGGGGUAAGAAAAAAC